rnacentral:rRNA from 1 species
AAUGAACGUUGGCGGCAGGCCUAACACAUGCAAGUCGAGCGAGCAUUUCGGUGCUAGCGGCGGACGGGUGAGUAACGCGUGGGAACGUGCCCUUUUCUGCGGAAUAGUCCUGGGAAACUGGGGGUAAUACCGCAUACGCCCUUUUGGGGAAAGAUUUAUCGGAGAAGGAUCGGCCCGCGUUGGAUUAGGUAGUUGGUGGGGUAAUGGCCCACCAAGCCGACGAUCCAUAGCUGGUUUGAGAGGAUGAUCAGCCACACUGGGACUGAGACACGGCCCAGACUCCUACGGGAGGCAGCAGUGGGGAAUCUUAGACAAUGGGGGCAACCCUGAUCUAGCCAUGCCGCGUGAGUGAUGAAGGCCUUAGGGUUGUAAAGCUCUUUCAGCUGGGAAGAUAAUGACGGUACCAGCAGAAGAAGCCCCGGCUAACUCCGUG